rnacentral:rRNA from 1 species
GACGAACGCUGGCGGCGUGCUUAACACAUGCAAGUCGAACGGAAAGGCCCUGCUUUUGUGGGGUGCUCGAGUGGCGAACGGGUGAGUAACACGUGAGUAACCUGCCCUUGACUUUGGGAUAACUUCAGGAAACUGGGGCUAAUACCGGAUAGGAGCUCCUGCUGCAAGGUGGGGGUUGGAAAGUUUCGGCGGUUGGGGAUGGACUCGCGGCUUAUCAGCUUGUUGGUGGGGUAGUGGCUUACCAAGGCUUUGACGGGUAGCCGGCCUGAGAGGGUGACCGGCCACAUUGGGACUGAGAUACGGCCCAGACUCCUACGGGAGGCAGCAGUGGGGAAUAUUGCACAAUGGGCGGAAGCCUGAUGCAGCAACGCCGCGUGCGGGAUGACGGCCUUCGGGUUGUAAACCGCUUUCGCCUGUGACGAAGCGUGAGUGGCGGUAAUGGGUAAAGAAGCACCGGCUAACUACGUG